GUCUGUUUGCCAAAAAAAAAAGGAAUAAGCUGCGAUCCUGUCUGAUCUUGGAAGCUAAGCAGGGUUGGCCCUGGUUAGUACUCGGAUGGGAGACCACCUAGGAAGACAAGGUGCUGUAGGCG
rnacentral:rRNA from 1 species